UGCAGCCGGGCGCGGCGCCGAGACCCUGUCCGGAGCCUCGCGCCACCGAGUCGUCCUGGCCGAGGCGCGGGGGCGCUUUCCGGAGCAGGGGCUCUCGCCAAAGGCCGGGCGCAGAGGGGGUGCGUGCGCCCGCACACAAAGGUCCGUCCUAGACUUCACAGCUCCCUGCCCGCUCUCCCUUCCCGGCUGCCCGAGGGGGAGCAGCCGCUCGGGGUCGGCCCAGGCGACCGCGCCGGGGGUCAGGCCGGCCGCCCCGAGUGGCCCCAGGGCCUUGCGAGGGCGCAGGGGGGCGCUGGGCCCUCACCCGGCUCGGCUGGACCCCCGCGGUGGCGCCCGGGACUGCGACUCUGCGGGUUCCUUUUGUGAACGGAGGGAAGGGCCCUCCCCCCGUCUGAAAAUGGUCAGCCCGGGUUCUCGGGACUGCGCGCCCUGAAUAACAGAUUGGGUGCUGUAGGGUCGUCAUCUGGGCCCCACCCUGCGGAGCUCUGAGCUGGUUUAGCUUCUCCUGCAGACGGGUCUGUUGGGGGUUCCCAAAAGCAUCACCGUGACCGGCUGCAUCAGGACCAGGGGCCCACCCCAUCACCUGAAACGGAAUCUCUGGGAGGGGCCCAGGAGUCUGUAUUUUUGGGACCUGGGCAUGUGCAAGUGGCCUUGUAAAUUCGUUCCUGAUGGAGAGGAGCUGGAAGACUCCACCAAGGACAAGCUGCUUUGAGGAUUUAGUAAGAGAUCUUCUGGAGAAGAUUUCGUAGCUCUAGGCCUGGGAAUAAACACUCGAUUGGGUAGACCAGGGAUAUGCUCUUCAUAGACCAGGCCCUGCAGACAUUGCUGAAUGCCUCUCUGAGGACCUGCUUGGGCUCCAGCCAUGACUGGAGUGCCUGCCGUUUCCAGGAGUCCGACUAGGUGCACCCAAAUGUUGUGGGUGCAGUGAGAUGAAACCAGAAAAAACAUCUCUCUGCCCUAAGACUAUGUCUUUGGUCUAGACUUCCGCAUGUGCUUGACCAACAGUUUCGUCCGUUCUGACAGCCAUAGACUUUUGUUUUCCUCUGGUUAAAAAAGUAGUCGAUGUCCAUUGUAGGAAAUUUGGAAGACACAGAAGAGUAUGAAGAAGAAAUAAAAAUCACCCAAUAUCCAAAACUCAGAAGACCAUUGCUACUGUUCUGGAAUUCAGAGGAGAGGACAACGUGGUUAGCGGAGCAGCGUGGCUUAGGCCUUGGGAUGAAUGCUCAAGAUUGAAAGAGGAGGUAUCCGCCAACCAGGGUUUUGAAA